CUCCGUCACAGCAACUGCAGUGCACAAUAUGUCAGCAACUGCUUUCUUCGUCGUUUUACUGUUCUCAAUCAUGACCAAAUAUUUUUACAUAGAGUUGUGUAUCAACUCUACUUUUUUCUUCUGUUUGUUAACAUGCCAGUUUUUAUUGAAUGCAAAUUUUUAAAUUUAUUAAUUGUCUAGUAAACUAUGUCGUCAUGCUGAUGGGUGUCGUAUCGGCUCGGACAACCACUGGUGUACUGAUGUCUUCUGGGUUUGGCGGGUAUGAAACCGCGACGCCGCACGUAACUACACCGAGGUCCCCAUGUACUACACCACCAAGUCUCCAGAUUAUUACACCACAACUUCGCUGCCCCGAGCUACUACACCGAAUCCCCGAAAUAUGCCCGAACUACGCCAUCAAAGGGUCGAGCACUACACCGAGGCCCCUAAUUAUUACACCACUACAUAUCAUGGGAGAGAAAAGGCGAUAGAUAUCAGUCGAAUGGUUAUCACCGACAUGGCAGCAACUGCAGUGCAGUAGGUGUAGUCGUCACCAACUGCAUUCUUCGUCGUACCACCAGUUUUGCAAUCAUGGCACGACGCCGCCGUCUUACUAUGCAACAAAAACAUACGACACGACCAGUUACUACACCGAGGCCCCCAAGUAC